UGCGAGGGGGACGGGACCGAGGCCAGGCAGCAGUGCGCUCUCUGCUUCAGGCCGGGUUCUCCCGGGAGGACCUAUAUGGGCGGGGCCUGGGCUCCGGGUCGGGCCGGCGUUAGUGGGCAAUAGCGGCUCUCCGUGCGCCGAACAUCCCGGCGCAGAAAUCUCCGGGUUGAGGCGCGGAGAUCUGGAGAGGCCGAUGGUCCUCCUCACACUCAGAUCUGACCCCGGCGCGGACCAGGUUGAAGAUUCCAUGGUGACGCUCCGUUUCCUGGAGCGAACAGGUCUCCGCCCAGCGCUGGGUCCCCCUCGCGCCCAGGCUGUAUCAGCUCUCCCGCUCUGCACGCUGCGGCUUACCUACGUGGUUAAAAGCACGCGCUCUGAGCUGAGACUGCUAGGACUGGUUACCCUCCCCAGCCCCACGAUCUUCAUCUGCAAGUGGUGGUAAUGAUAGUAAUUAUCUUAGGGUUGCUUUGAGUUUUAAACGAGAUAAUGGGACUUGUACAGUUUCUGGACUCAGUUUCUGGCACACGGCCAGUGCUCGGUAAAUGCUACUUAUUCGGUGACCUUGGAAAUGCCAAGAAGAUUGGGGUAAAAUGAGGAUGGUUCCAUCCCUCCACCCAAUAAAAAGUCUAGGACAUGAGACCCGCAUCCCCCAUCUCUUUUGGGAGCUGUACAGCUAAAUGCAUUCCUGCCCACCACUCUAAUCUGGCCAGUGCUACAGAUUCCCAGACUUGGACUCCUGGGCUGACCUCCUCUGCCAGCUGGAGCAGGAGCAUCUGGUGAGAAAAACGAGGCCCAGCGAGAUUAUGGAACCUGUCCAAAGUCCACUGGUGGCAUUUGAAGCCAAGCCCUUUUGGAUCUUAACUCAGAACUCUGGUUGUUUCUGCAAGGUCCAGUUUCCGUGAUUCUCCCAGGUCUUUCUUCCUAGGUACUUGCACAUUAUUCUGUACUUACUAUCUCUUCCCUUUAGGCAGUGCUCUUAUGGAGAAAGGGGACUCUACCUUAUUUCUCUUUAUAUCCCCUGUAUUUAACACCAAAUAGAUAGUCUGCUGAUGUUGAGUAGAUGUUCACUGAAGGAUGAGACAAUAAUUGUAGUAAUAAUUCUGAAUUCUUAUAUCUGUCCUCAUUUCCUUGUCCUGUCCAUUUGUUUAUGCAGCAACCAAUGAUUUUUUUGGCCUAGGGGGGCUUUUCACAUGCUCAGUAGGAUUUGUAAGUGAAAACUGCACUGUAGAAACCAUUCACAUUAAACCAUCGUUUCUCCAACCAUGGUCAUGUUCAUAGGUAUUCUCCAAAAACAGGUUGCAUGGAUAAAUAAGUUUGAGAAAUUCUAGGUUACACAAGAUUUAUUUAUUUAUUUAUUUUUAUGUUUUUUUGACAGCGCCACAUGGCUUGCAGGAUCUUAGUUCCCCUACCAGGGAUCAAACCCCAGGCCCCCUGCAGUGGGAGUGCAGAUUCCUAACUGCUGGACCACCAGGGAAGUCCCUAGGUUACACAAGAUUAACCAAAUAUCUUUCCUAUAGGACUUCUCAGGCCUUUACUAGGGUAAUUAAUGCCCAGGGAGUUGGGUAGAAUGCCAGGUAAAGUUAGCACAUUUCUUAACUUUUUUUGACCAGAGGACCUUUUUCUCAGAACGUUAUCAACGUCUAGUGGGACUGGUUCUAUGGAGUAUAGUUGGUGAAAAACUGCACUAAGCCUCAUUCUCUCCUAGAGCCGACUGGCCUGGGGCUUGGGUGUGCAGAUUGGUGUCAUUUAAUUGCCAUCUGUUGUCCCAGGCCCGUAGAGAGUCUGUACCUCUCCUAAAACCUUUAUCAGAGAAUUACUGUGCAGCUCAUUUAUCCACUCAGUAAAGAUUUAUUGAGUUUCUGCUAUGUGCACUGACUGUGGAGAAAACAGGAUUCUUGCCAAUCAAGAAACUGAGGACUCAGAACAGGGCCUGGUGAGUUGGAUGUGGAGAGACUAGGGCCCUCUGCUGGCUGCCCUGGGAGCUUGAAGGGUGAAGCUUUUGAUUUUCCAUCCAGACCUCUCAGUGUAUAGUUUUCUUCCAGCUGUAAGAACUCAAGGACUCUUCUGACUGGGAUUGAUUAGCUGCCCUGGGACACCGCAAGGAGGUAAACCCCAUCCAGGCCCAGAGAGAGUCAAUGAAAGAGGGAGCAGAGACAUCCAGGACCUCUCACUCACUGCACAGUGCAAGGGCCAGGCUGAGCCCAGAGGGACAGGAAGAGUCCAAGUUGAUACACUCAGGAUUUGCACAGCAGACAAGAAAAUCAUCAGCCUGUUAGGGUCAGCGUUUACAAGAUCUGUUAUGAUGACAGGUGGGCAUUAGCUACUAAAGACUGCUUUUUAAAUCUCCAAAGUGUGUUUUCUACUGGUGAGUGCUUCUCUUUUCAUAUCAAUUGCCUUUUCCCAGUGAAACCAAGGGCAACCAUCAGUUAGAUCCCUUAAACUAUAACUUGCGUAGUAAAUAAUAUCCUGUAACCUGCCUUCAUUGAUUAAGCUCGCCUUAAUUGUUCUCUCAAAUGUAUCUCCUCCAAGCUUCAUGAAACUUAGACAAUAUAUCACGACUCCUUUAACCAACCCCUAUAGAGAACACCUCUGAUGUGUGGAUCGCUAUAGAAUUGGUUGCUUAAGUUGUUUUCCAGGAACAUGGAGCAAGUCUUGUCCAGUUCAAACCAGUAGAGACCACUGACCAUUCAACUGGGCCUGUGCGAGUGUCCAGUGGAUGACCUUUUGACAUCAGAGGCCAAAAACUCCACCCUCAGAUCAUGCUAGCCACCAUUUUCUGAACACACGUCCGAUGAAGGAGCACACAAGCCAGAUACGCCUGCGCAGAACACCGCUUACUUCACCUUUUCUUGCCUCCAGUCGUCUGUCCCCACACCUCAGACCACCCUGCCUCUUUAUCCCAUGAAUAUCCCAGCCCCUCGGAUUUGAGACUUGUUCUCCCAUGUCUUUGCUUGGCCGCCUGGUGAAUAAACCCUUUCUCCACUGCAAACCUCGGUGUCUCAGCGUGUGGCUUGCGCUGGGCAUUGGGCAAAUGGACCCAGUUUUGGCACGCCAGAGGCUCCAAUAGGCAAAACUCAUAGUGAAAAUCAUCAGUAUGGAGACUUAUUCUGCUUAAUAUCCAAAGAGUUUAAAUUCUAAUUUACUCAUCAGUGGCAAAAAAGCAAGGAAGUUGUGUUUAAUACUUUUUAUUUUUUUGCAAUUUCCCUGAUUGGGAUGAUCCCUCUAGUAUUUGUGAAAUUACAAAAAUAACACUUUUCUUCAAUUUUUGCCAUACAUCUGAAUGCCUUAGCCACAAAAUAAAAGCCAUUUAAAAAAUUUCCCCUUCCCUUUUUUAUCAUUUUUCAAAUUUACUCAAAUCCCAUGCAGUAAAUUCAGCAUUUACAUGGUUAACAUUACAGCUGCCAGGAAAUCUUGGCUGGAAUGCCAGGGGGAUAUGGGCCUGAAGAAUUGGCUGCAUUGCCUCCUUUAUUUUUUCCUCUAGUUGGUCUAAAGCUUUACUCCUGGGAACCAAUUUGCCCUCCCCCUUAGAGGAAAGAACGUUACAAAUGUCAACCUCUGUAGCCUAUGCAAGCUCCUCUUUUGGAAGAGUUGGGCUCUGGAGGAGAGGACAAAAGCAAAGGCAUCUCUCAGGCUGGAUUUCCCCUCUCAUUAGCCAGCAAGUAGCCAGGGCAGCUGCAAGCCUGUUCUUCUGGAGUUGAGCUCUCAUUUUCAAACUAUGUGGGUAACUUUUCCCUCUCACAAGAGGCAGCAGCCCAACUGCUGUUUUAUGCCAGCCCUAUCUCCAGAGCCAUCCUGACACCAAGUGUUCAACAUCUCCUGCCCCUUCGUCCUUCAUUUUCCCAAAAACAUCUCCUGCCCCUUCGUCCAUUUAAUAGUUGUACUCACAGCUAAGGUUUAUUACAGUGGAAGGACACAAAGCAAAAUCAGCAAAGGGAAAAGGUGCAUGGGGUGAAGCCCAGAGGAAACCAGGCCCAAGCUCCCAAGAGUCCUCUCCCAGUGAACACAUUUAAUUCUUCCAACAAUGAAUUGUGAUAGCAGGUAUGUAAUCUUGCCUACGAGGGAAGCCUGCCUGACCUCAGGGGCCCAGGGCUUUUAGUAGAGGUAGGUCACAUAGGCACCCUCUGCCUAGCAUGCACCAGAAUUACAUACUCCCAGAAGGAAAGCAAAACCACAUGGUUCCUACCAACAGUUUAGCACAGCAAGCCACUCUUUUCAUUUAAGGAAUGAUAGAAACCUUCCCAAAAUCUAGGUUCCCAGACUUAUUGUCAUAUAAUAUGUGAAUAAAAUAAUUUUCACAGAGUGAACAAUUUCUAUAACCACCACGUAAAUCAAGAAAAAAAAUUACCAGAAUCCCCCAAAAUCCCAUUUAUGUCCUCUUCUGGUCAUUAAUCCAUCUCCCCCAGGGUAACCACUAUUGUGACUUGUAACACCAUAAUUUGUUCUGUCGGUCCUUGAACUUCAUAUGAAUGAAAUCAUGUAGCAUGUAUGCUUUUGUGUCUUGCUUUUUUUCUUAUCAUGACAUGUGAAAUUCUCCCAUGAUGUUGUGCAUACGUUGCUCAUUUUAA